rnacentral:rRNA from 1 species
UACAGAGGUCCCAAGCGUUGUUCGGAUUCAUUGGGCGUAAAGGGUGCGUAGGUGGCGCCGUAAGUCGGGUGUGAAAUUCGGAGCUUAACUCCGAAACUGCAUUCGAUACUGCGGUGCUUGAGGACUGGAGAGGAGACUGGAAUUCAUGGUGUAGCAGUGAAAUGCGUAGAGAUCAUGAGGAAGACCAGUGGCGAAGGCGGGUCUCUGGACAGUUCCUGACACUGAGGCACGAAGGCCAGGGGAGCAAACGGG